rnacentral:rRNA from 1 species
ACAUUGAGUCUUCGAGUCGUUGAUUUCACACUGCCGAGAAAAGCCUCUAGAUAGAAAAUAGGUGCCCGUACCGCAAACCGACACAGGUAGUCAAGAUGAGAAUUCUAAGGUGAGCGAGCGAACUCUCGUUAAGGAACUCGGCAAAAUGACCCCGUAACUUCGGGAGAAGGGGUGCUCUUUAGGGUUAACGCCCAGAAGAGCCGCAGUGAAUAGGCCCAAGCGACUGUUUAUCAAAAACACAGGUCUCUGCUAAACCGUAAGGUGAUGUAUAGGGGCUGACGCCUGCCCGGUGCUGGAAGGUUAAGAGGAGUGGUUAGCUUCUGCGAAGCUACGAAUCGAAGCCCCAGUAAACGGCGGCCGUAACUAUAACGGUCCUAAGGUAGCGAAAUUCCUUGUCGGGUAAGUUCCGACCCGCACGAAAGGCGUAACGAUUUGGGCACUGUCUCAACGAGAGACUCGGUGAAAUCAUAGUACCUGUGAAGAUGCAGGUUACCCGCGACAGGACGGAAAGACCCCGUGGAGCUUUACUGUAGCCUGAUAUUGAAAUUCGGCACAGCUUGUACAGGAUAGGUAGGAGCCUUUGAAACGUGAGCGCUAGCUUACGUGGAGGCGCUGGUGGGAUACUACCCUAGCUGUGUUGGCUUUCUAACCCGCACCACUUAUCGUGGUGGGAGACAGUGUCAGGCGGGCAGUUUGACUGGGGCGGUCGCCUCCUAAAAGGUAACGGAGGCGCUCAAAGGUUCCCUCAGAAUGGUUGGAAAUCAUUCAUAGAGUGUAAAGGCAUAAGGGAGCUUGACUGCGAGACCUACAAGUCGAGCAGGGUCGAAAGACGGACUUAGUGAUCCGGUGGUUCCGCAUGGAAGGGCCAUCGCUCAACGGAUAAAAGCUACCCCGGGGAUAACAGGCUUAUCUCCCCCAAGAGUUCACAUCGACGGGGAGGUUUGGCACCUCGAUGUCGGCUCAUCGCAUCCUGGGGCUGUAGUCGGUCCCAAGGGUUGGGCUGUUCGCCCAUUAAAGCGGUACGCGAGCUGGGUUCAGAACGUCGUGAGACAGUUCGGUCCCUAUCCGUCGUGGGCGUAGGAAAUUUGAGAGGAGCUGUCCUUAGUACGAGAGGACCGGGAUGGACAUACCUCUGGUGUACCAGUUGUCGUGCCAACGGCAUAGCUGGGUAGCUAUGUGUGGACGGGAUAAGUGCUGAAAGCAUCUAAGCAUGAAGCCCCCCUCAAGAUGAGAUUUCCCAACUUCGGUUAUAAGAUCCCUCAAAGAUGAUGAGGUUAAUAGGUUCGAGGUGGAAGCAUGGUGACAUGUGGAGCUGACGAAUACUAAUCGAUCGAAGACUUAAUCAA